GAUGAAGAACGCAGCGAAAUGCGAUAAGUAAUGUGAAUUGCAGAAUCCAGUGAAUCAUCGAAUCUUUGAACGCACAUUGCGCCCGCCAGCAUUCUGGCGGGCAUGCCUGUUCGAGCGUCAUUUCAACCCUCGACCUCCCCUUGGGGAGGUCGGCGUUGGGGACCGGCAGCACACCGCCGGCCCUGAAAUGGAGUGGCGGCCCGUCUGCGGCGACCUCUGCGUAGUAAUACAGCUCGCACCGGAACCCCGACGCGGCCACGCCGUAAAACACCCAACUUCUGAACGUUGACCUCGAAUCAGGUAGGACUACCCGCUGAACUUAAGCAUAUCAAAUAAGCGGAGGA
rnacentral:misc_RNA from 1 species